UUACCUUGAAACUUAGACAUUCUAACUUUGCUGAUCUGGGCUUGAGGAUGAUGUUGUGAGCCGCACAUGCAUCCAACUUCUACGAGUCAUCCACACGAGCCCACGAAUCACGAUCGAAAGUCCUGAUCCAGAAAAUCAGCACAGUAUAGUAGUACUGUGCUGAUCCUUCUUCGAUAGUCAAUCAGAUGCCUCCUUCUUCUUGAUUUGGAUUCUUCCAAAGAUGAGAAAUAGGAGAAGGAGUUUUAGAUAUGAGACACUCUUAGAAAACUCAUAGA
rnacentral:lncRNA from 1 species